GCUUACGGCCAUACCAGCCUGGGUACGCCCGAUCUCGUCUGAUCUCGGAAGCAAGCGGGUCGGGCCUGGUUAGUACUUGGAUGGGAGACCGCCUGGGAAUACCAGGUGCUGUAAGCA
rnacentral:rRNA from 1 species